rnacentral:rRNA from 1 species
UGCCAGCAGCCGCGGUAACACGGAGGGUGCAAGCGUUAUCCGGAUUCACUGGGUUUAAAGGGUACGUAGGCGGUUUUGUAAGUCGAUGGUGAAAUUUAGCAGCUCAACUGCUACCGUGCCAUCGAUACUGCGAGACUUGAGUAUAGUCGAGGUGGGCGGAAUUCUACAUGUAGCGGUGAAAUGCAUAGAUAUGUAGAGGAACACCAAUAGCGAAGGCAGCUCACUAGACUAUUACUGACGCUGAGGUACGAAAGCGUGGGGAGCGAACAGGAUUAGAUA